GUCACCUCCUACCUGCACCAGCUGUGUUGGCUUUACAUCAGUGGAGCACAAGCACAAAACGCAGCUUAGAGCUACCCAGUGGAGGCAGCAGUUUUUGGGUGGUGCUGGUGACUGGCUUCUGCAGGCUGGUAUUAGGGAUCUGGUAUUGGGGUGCUGCUUUGCAAGCAGCUUGUCUCUAUGGAUGUGAUCUACUCAGAGCAAAGUUCUUCAAACAGGGGUGACUGACCCUUCACAAGUGCCUGACGUGUGCAUCUGGUUGUGUGCGGACAUUGCACCCAGUUUGGACCUGAAUCUCCAAAGUGACUGGUGCACAAUGUAUUCAAGAGCUGAUGAAGCCCAGCUGUGGACAGCACUGGAUCAGUAGGAACAGGGAUCAGAGCCUUUGUAUUUGUUCCAAAUCAAUGUGCUUGAUUUUUACUUGCUAAUUUAUUUGCUACAAAAUGUUGUGGGCUUUUCUUAAUAUUAGCAUUUUUCAUCCUACAUACUAGUCAAGUGCAACUAAAUACUGUAUUAUCGAUGAGUCUGUUUUAUCUUUCUUCCUAACCAACAAUUGCAGGAUUUCAACAACAGAAGGCUUUCUGAAAACAGGUCAGUGUUCAAGAGAGCUGAAUUUAAAGAGCUUUUUAAAAUUAAAUUCUUAUGCCACAGUAAUGGCAUAAAUAAAAUCUAUUUACUAGGUGUUCUAGGUUACUUUAUUUUCCAACAAAAAUAUGUAACAGCACCAAAGGAGAAACAUGAUUUGAACAUUUUUAAGUUCAUAAAAAUCUUUGAGUCAAAUUUGA